UUUUUUAUUUGAAGGUGGGUAUUUACAUUUCUGCAUUCAGUAAAAAAUAAACAACGAAAAAUGAUUUGCUAUAAAUGAUAACCUGGAUGUCAGCUAUGACAGAGAGUCAGUUGCCAGUUUAUUUGGUACACAUAGCUAUUUUAUUAAAAUUGUUUUAGAGAUGUGUUCAUUCAUCUGUAUGUCCAUUUUGGAGGCUGUUUGUGCUUUUGUUAAAUUGUAUUGCGUUAUUUUACCUGGAGUUUCUAAUAUUUACCCAAUCCUUACUGGUAUAAAUAGGGUGCAUUAGUUUUUUAGAAUGUAUUACUGUACUUUUAGCUAGGUCUACCAAAUAAACUGGCAAAAAUACUCUAAAUACACAUAGUAUCACAACCAUAACUUUAGAAAUAUUUAAAAAUCUGUCUUGCAGUACCCUGUUAAGGGGUUGUAGUUCGGACACUGCUGAAAUAGAAUAAAUUAAAUCAGUAAUAGAAUAGAAAAGUAUAGAAACCACCAAUAAAUGUCUGUAGAUACCUUGGUUAAGUCAGGCGAUCAGUAUUGAUUUAUUAUUAUUCAGUAUUGUGUUGUUUGAAUGAAGCUGCUCACAGCAAUAUAUUGUCAACUAUAAAUAUGACACUGCGUGACACUGACCCUUAUUCCAUUUGAUUAUCUGUACAUACUAAAUAUUAUAGAGUUGUGUAAUACUGUGAAGGAACAUGCUCAUUGCACAUUUGAAGAUAAUUUAACAGAAGCAAACGUCAGCUUUCUACAUUGCUAUGCAUAUUGGGAGGGCAGUGUUCAGUGCAGCAGCUGUGUUGUGGACUACAGACAAAACACACCAAAGCAUAUUUGAGUUGCCAAUGGAAGGGGAGAAUAUAAGCAACAUCUGAUCACCUAACCUUAAUGUAUAGAAUAUUACACUGUAGGUGGCUAAAGUUGACAAUACCCUGUUCUGUUGUACAUUAAUUAAUGCAGACGUAUGUCAGUCCACUUGCAACGCUUGGAACACUGUUGCUUUCAAAUUUGAAAACUUCCUAAAUAGCUAGUCAAAAAAUGCUCAGUUAUUAUUACUUUCUUUAUUAACUCUCUUUUGUGUUGUCCAUACACAGCACAUUCAGAAAUGCUGUGAUUACUGUACGUCUGCAUUAGGGCCUUUUUUGAUGAAUACAUUUUGUUAUUUUCCUGUGUGAAUGUAUUACAUACUCAAAACACUGUUAGACUUAUUAUGUAGUCUACAAAAGGGACAUGGUAUUAUGUAUUGCACAUCAUGAUGGUCAAUUUCGAAUUGACUACGACUUGACAUGAACAGAACACUUAUAAACCAGAUUUAUUCUGUGCAAGCUGUGUUCAGGGUGAGUGAUUGGACUAAAAACAGCCCUGAGUAGUAGCCUGCAGUUAGUUGAAGUUUUUUAUAUUCACAGAUCAGAUCAAAGGACUCUCCUAUACACUCACUAUCUACGCCAGGGUUUCUGCAGGUUUCACCAAGUUAAAUUUAUGACCUUUUAAGACCAUUAUGAAUGAAAUUUAGGACCUUUAUCACAACAUCAACUGAGCCCUAAAUUCAUUUUUUUUCAAGCCAAGUAAAUCACUAAACUUGCACUUCCCCUUUUAUGUCUGUGGUACAAUCCGAAAGAGACUUGCGGCAAUAACACAAAAGCUGGUUGGCUGCAAUAGAAGUAGCAUGUUGGUCUCAUUUGUAGUAGCGAAAUUACAGUUGGACUAGUAAAAGAAAGAACUACAACACCACAGGAUUAAAAAAAGAGAAGAGCAUUAGAGGUAGAGUUGCAUUGACGGAGGAAAAUUAAGACCUGUUUAAAAUAAUUUAACACCUAGAACACAAUACUUAUUUAUUUAAGACUCUUUAAGACAUUUUAAUUUUGAAAUUCUAGACUUUUUAAAACCCACGGAAACCCUGUACACCCAUGUGCCUUGUUUUGCAAGAUGACAUCAAACAUUACAGCAUCAUGUGUGAGUUAUAUACUGUUUUGAGCUAAUAUAUACAUGGUUUUAAAAACAAAGAGUAAAUGCUUGCACUUGUGUGUUUAUUCCUGUGUUAAAGGUUCCCUGUGGAGUAUUCGACCUCUAGCAGUGCCAGUGCUAUGGAGCAGAUUUCGAACCCAGGGGGAUCCAUAUCACGAUAAGAAACACACAGAGUAAAAACAUAUUGAAGUUGAAGUGUUGGAGAAGUGAAAUGUCCCUUUUGAAAGAGGCCUGAAAUACACACACACAUGCUCACUAACGGAGAGAUGUCAGAGUGGGUGGGCUGUGACUGCUGAACAGGCACCUUGAGUGGUCCGGUGCCUUGCUCAAGGGCACCUUGGCAGUGCCCAGGAGGUGAAGUGGCACCUCUCCAGCUACCAGUCCACCUCCAUAUUUCGGUCCAUACGGGGGCUUGAACCAGCGACCCUCCGGUUCCCAACCCAACUCCCCACAGACUGAGCUACUGCCCCCCUGACUACAUUCCAGAACCGCUCCUGAGGGGACCUUGUGAAAAUGAAGGCCAUCUUUACACGAGAACUAGCAUCUUGCAGUGAUGGAGAGCUGCAUAAGAGGUCCUUUUACCGGAGUCGAGCCCACACCUAGCACUGUGGGUAAUGUAGGCAGGAGUCAGGGAAUCAUGGGAAAUGUAGUGAGCAAGUGUGAUCAGCUGCAGUGACAGACCGUAUGAGAAAGCUCAGCCAAGAGGAGGGUGUAC